rnacentral:sRNA from 1 species
CACGGCUCACAGAAGCCUGCGGAGCCCGUUAAGAGGCAGCCGAGGUCCCAGUGCCUGUCCACGCUGGUCCGGCCCGUCUUCGGAGAGGUGCAAACACAGAUGACCCUUCUAUAGAGAAAGCAGAGAAGGUUUAGUCGGGGUCCAUCCCAGGGCAGCUGCCGCCCCGCUCAAAGAGAAGCACAAGCAGAGCGGUGGGAGCGUGGGUGCGCUGGAGGAGCUGGAGAACGCCUUCAGCCUGGCCGAGGAGUCCUGCCCCGGCAUCUCAGACAAGCUGAUGGUGCACCUGGUGGAGCGAGUGCAGAGGUUUUCACACAACAGAAACCACCUGACAUCCACCCGCUGAAGCGCGCUGCUGUUCAGAUAGGGGACAGAAGGUCGUUUGUUUUUGUCUUGAGCUCCAUAAGAACUGUGCUGACUUGGAAGGUGCCCUGUGCUGUGUCGUGCCUGCAGGGACACAUCAGAUCCUGUGGGCCUCACAUGCCAGGUCACCAGGUCACCGUCUCCUUCCAUCCCUG